rnacentral:rRNA from 1 species
AUGAACGCUGGCGGCGUGCCUAAUACAUGCAAGUCGAGCGAACAGACGAGGAGCUUGCUCCUCUGACGUUAGCGGCGGACGGGUGAGUAACACGUGGAUAACCUACCUAUAAGACUGGGAUAACUUCGGGAAACCGGAGCUAAUACCGGAUAAUAUAUUGAACCGCAUGGUUCAAUAGUGAAAGACGGUUUUGCUUUCACUUAUAGAUGGAUCCGCGCCGCAUUAGCUAGUUGGUAAGUUAACGGCUUACCAAGGCGACGAUGCGUAGCCGACCUGAGAGGGUGAUCGGCCACACUGGAACUGAGACACGGUCCAGACUCCUACGGGAGGCAGCAGUAGGGAAUCUUCCGCAAUGGGCGAAAGCCUGACGGAGCAACGCCGCGUGAGUGAUGAAGGUCUUCGGAUCGUAAAACUCUGUUAUUAGGGAAGAACAAAUGUGUAAGUAACUAUGCACGUCUUGACGGUACCUAAUCAGAAAGCCACGGCUAACUACGUG